AGUGAGAUAGCUGGGUCAAAUUGUGGUUCCAUUUCAAGUUUUCUAAGGAAUCUCCAUACUGCUUUCCAGAUUAGUUGCAUAGUUUGCAGUCCCACUAGCAUU
rnacentral:pre_miRNA from 1 species